AUUUUGUCAAUGAGUUUGAAUUGAUGGGGUCUUGGAAUGCUAUCCACAUGGACAUCAUGGAGUAGAUAAGGAUUUAGGCCGUCUACAUGGCCGGUUAGACUUGGUAAAUACCCUUAUGCUAAUACUGGCCUUAACAAGAGUUGAGAUGAAACUAGAUGGUACAGAUAUUGCUGACAGAUUGACAGGGCAAGAGGAUUAUCUACUGAAUUGACAAGCAUGUACAAAAGUGGACAGCUACUUUCAAAGAGGACUUUUGCAUUCUUCGUAGUUUUGCUGCAAUGGAUACAUCCAUAUGUCGCUUAAGUCAGUUCUCGGAUGCUACAGAUUAGGCCCUGGAAAUUUUACGUUGCCAAAACAAAGAAAAUGUGGGCUGAUAUGAUAUGCUCCUGUGGAGGAAGGGAUCUGGUGCUGACACUAAUAUGGGGUACUAAACCUGAUGCUUUGUUGGUCUGAAGGAGAGCUGAGAAUUUGAUUAAACUUGAUGGUCACGAUAUAUAUUGCUCCAGACAGGAGAAAUUUGUAUCUCUGAGCAUGAUUGAAGGUUGGACAACAUUUGUUUGACAUUGUGAAGCUGCUGCCUUUGAACUACAUCUUAUGAUUGAGGUACAAUACAAUGUGAGGUUCAUACAGACAAUCAAAUCUCUCUAGCUCUCUAAUCAGGGGAAUGAAGACUCCAAUAUUGUUCCAUGUAACAUCACGGAAUGACUGGUUUGUGGCUGGACGGUCAUCCCUUUAAUUUAGGAAAGCAGAAUCACUGAGGAGAACCUUUGAGACUUUGAGAAAAACCGAUCGCAGUCACUGCUGCAACUCUGGUUUGCCUGAAACUGGAGCUGUGCUCUUUGGAUAGAUUCACUCCUAAAAAUGUUUUGGAGAAAAUAUUUUAUGUAU